AACGUAGGGGACGAGCGUUAUCCGGAUUUACUGGGCGUAAAGCGCUUGUAGGUGGCUUUGUAAGUUGGGCGUGAAAACUCUGGGCUUAACCCAGAGACGCCGUCCAAUACUGCGAGGCUCUAGGAUGUCAGAGGAAGGUGGAAUUCCUGGUGUAGUGGUGAAAUGCGUAGAUAUCAGGAGGAACACCCGUGGCGAAGGCGGCCUUCUGGGGCAUUCCUGACACUGAGAAGCGAAAGCUAGGGGAGCAAACAGG
rnacentral:rRNA from 1 species